rnacentral:rRNA from 1 species
GACGAACGCUGGCGGCGUGCUUAACACAUGCAAGUCGAACGGAAAGGCACUGCUUUUGUGGGGUGCUCGAGUGGCGAACGGGAGAGUAACAUGUGAGUAACCCGACCUUGACUUUGGGGUAACUUCAGGAAACUAGGGCUAAUACCGGAAAGGAGAUCCCCCUGCAUGGGGGGGGUUGGAAAGUUUCGGCGGUUGGGGGUGGACUCGCGGCUUAUCAGCUUGUUGGUGGGGUAGUGGCUUACCAAGGCUUUGCCGGGUAGCCGGCCUGCGAGGGUGACCGGCCACGGUAGGACUGAGCUACGGCCCGGACUCCUACGGGAGGCAGCGGUGGGGAGUAGUACACAAGGGGCUGGAGCCUGAUGCAGCAACGCCGCGUGCGGGAUGACGGCCUGCGGGUUGUAUACCGCAUUCGCCUUUUACGAAGCGUUAGUGACGGUAAUGGGUGAAUAAGCACCGGCUAACUACGUG